rnacentral:rRNA from 1 species
UAGGGAAUAUUGCACAAUGGAGGAAACUCUGAUGCAGCGACGCCGCGUGAGUGAUGAAGGCCUUCGGGUCGUAAAGCUCUGUCGCAGGGGAAUAACACAAUGAAUGUACCCUGUAAGAAAGGAUCGGCUAACUUCGUGCCAGCAGCCGCGGUAAGACGAGGGAUCCUAGCGUUGUUCGGAAUUAUUGGGCGUAAAGCGGAUGUAGGUGGCUUUGUAAGUCAGAUGUGAAAGCCCAGGGCUCAACCCUGGAAGUGCAUUUGAUACUGCGAAGCUUGAGUGUCGGAGAGGUUACUAGAAUUGUUGGUGUAGUGGUAAAAUACGUAGAUAUCAACAGGAAUACCGGAGGCGAAGGCGGGUAACUGGCCGAACACUGACACUGAGAUCCGAAAGCGUGGGGAUCAAACAGG